GCGGGAGUGCCGGAGUGGUCAAACGGGUGUGGCUAAGGACCACAUGGCUUAGUGCCUGCAAAGGUUCGAAUCCUUUCUCCCGCA
rnacentral:tRNA from 1 species